CUGCUGACCUUUUCUAUCUUUAACAAGGGAAGUGGCUGAUAAUGUUGGUUGAAUUUAUCUCUAGUAUAAUAUUGCAUCUGGCAGUCGUAAUUGCUAAAAUAUUUUCAUUGUUGUUUGGACUUUGUCAAAAAUGUUAACUAAGCACUGUCCAUAUUUGGUGGAAUCUAUUCUUAGGUUUGUAUCCAAGGGUAUUUUUUCAAGUUUUCAUUGGUUGCUUAUUACGCAAAUAUAUAUUUUGGAAAACAAUAGCCAUCGCGCAUGUACUAAAAAAUCGCCCAAACGGACAUUAAGAAUUUAUACACUGAAAGCGAAAGACAUACUUUUUAGUCUGUUAGAAUAGAUUUGUUUUUCUGAGUUUACGAGGGAAAUACGUGGCAUUGUUCAAUAACCGUUGUUGAUGUACGAUAUUGUUUGUGGUACUAAUAAAAGACUUAACGAGUA
rnacentral:lncRNA from 1 species